UACGGGGGGGGGUAAGCGUUGUUCGGAAUUACUGGGCGUAAAGGGCUCGUAGGCGGCCAACUAAGUCAGACGUGAAAUCCCUCAGCUUAACUGGGGAACUGCGUCUGAUACUGGAUGGCUUGGAUUCGGGAGAGGAAUGCGGAAUUCCAGGUGUAGCGGUGAAAUGCGUAGAUAUCUGGAGGAACACCGGUGGCGAAGGCGGCGCUCUGGGCCGGUACUGACGCUGAGGAGCGAAAGCGUGGGGAGCAAACAGG
rnacentral:rRNA from 1 species